AUUGAACGCUGGUGGCAUGCCUUACACAUGCAAGUCGAACGGCAGCACGGGAGCAAUCCUGGUGGCGAGUGGCGAACGGGUGAGUAAAGUAUCGGAACGUGCCCAGUCGUGGGGGAUAACGUAGCGAAAGUUACGCUAAUACCGCAUACGAUCUAUGGAUGAAAGCGGGGGAUCGCAAGACCUCGCGCGAUUGGAACGGCCGAUAUCAGAUUAGGUAGUUGGUGGGGUAAAGGCUCACCAAGCCGACGAUCUGUAGCUGGUCUGAGAGGGCGACCAGCCACACUGGGACUGAGACACGGCCCAGACUCCUACGGGAGGCAGCAGUGGGGAAUUUUGGACAAUGGGCGAAAGCCUGAUCCAGCCAUGCCGCGUGCAGGAUGAAGGCCUUCGGGUUGUAAACUGCUUUUGUACGGAACGAAAAGGUUUGGCCUAAUAAGCUGAGCUCAUGACGGUACCGUAAGAAUAAGCACCGGCUAACUACGUGCCAGCCGCCGCCGUAA
rnacentral:rRNA from 1 species